GACGAACGCUGGCGGCGUGCUUAACACAUGCAAGUCGAACGAAGUGGCGAACGGGUGAGUAACGCGUAAUCAUCCUGCCCUUCAGAGGGGGAAAAAAGUGGGAACGGACGCCUAAUACCGCAUACUGAAGGAGGGGUUUGGUUCUGAUUGGCUAGUUGGAGGGGUAACGGCCCACCAAGGCGAUGAGCAGUAGCCGGGCUGAGAGGAUGAACCGCCACAUUGGGAAUGAGACACGGGCCAGACUCCUACGGGAGGCAGCAGUUGGGAAUCUUCCGAAAUGGACGAAAGUCUGACGGAGCAACGCCGCGUGAGUGAUGACGGCCUUCGGGUUGGAAAGCUCUGUUAAGCGGGACGCGGUACCGGAAUAGAAAGCCACGGCUAACUACGUGCCAGCAGCCGCGGUAAUAC
rnacentral:rRNA from 1 species